GGUUAAGCGACUAAGCGUACACGGUGGAUGCCCUGGCAGUCAGAGGCGAUGAAGGACGUGCUAAUCUGCGAUAAGCGUCGGUAAGGUGAUAUGAACCGUUAUAACCGGCGAUUUCCGAAUGGGGAAACCCAGUGUGAUUCGUCACACUAUCAUUAACUGAAUCCAUAGGUUAAUGAGGCGAACCGGGGGAACUGAAACAUCUAAGUACCCCGAGGAAAAGAAAUCAACCGAGAUUCCCCCAGUAGCGGCGAGCGAACGGGGAGCAGCCCAGAGCCUGAAUCAGUGUGUGUGUUAGUGGAAGCGUCUGGAAAGGCGUGCGAUACAGGGUGACAGCCCCGUACACAAAAAUGCACAUACUGUGAGCUCGAUGAGUAGGGCGGGACACGUGGUAUCCUGUCUGAAUAUGGGGGGACCAUCCUCCAAGGCUAAAUACUCCUGACUGACCGAUAGUGAACCAGUACCGUGAGGGAAAGGCGAAAAGAACCCCGGCGAGGGGAGUGAAAAAGAACCUGAAACCGUGUACGUACAAGCAGUGGGAGCACGCUUAGGCGUGUGACUGCGUACCUUUUGUAUAAUGGGUCAGCGACUUAUAUUCUGUAGCAAGGUUAACCGAAUAGGGGAGCCGAAGGGAAACCGAGUCUUAACUGGGCGUUAAGUUGCAGGGUAUAGACCCGAAACCCGGUGAUCUAGCCAUGGGCAGGUUGAAGGUUGGGUAACACUAACUGGAGGACCGAACCGACUAAUGUUGAAAAAUUAGCGGAUGACUUGUGGCUGGGGGUGAAAGGCCAAUCAAACCGGGAGAUAGCUGGUUCUCCCCGAAAGCUAUUUAGGUAGCGCCUCGUGAAUUCAUCUCCGGGGGUAGAGCACUGUUUCGGCAAGGGGGUCAUCCCGACUUACCAACCCGAUGCAAACUGCGAAUACCGGAGAAUGUUAUCACGGGAGACACACGGCGGGUGCUAACGUCCGUCGUGAAGAGGGAAACAACCCAGACCGCCAGCUAAGGUCCCAAAGUCAUGGUUAAGUGGGAAACGAUGUGGGAAGGCCCAGACAGCCAGGAUGUUGGCUUAGAAGCAGCCAUCAUUUAAAGAAAGCGUAAUAGCUCACUGGUCGAGUCGGCCUGCGCGGAAGAUGUAACGGGGCUAAACCAUGCACCGAAGCUGCGGCAGCGACGCUUAUGCGUUGUUGGGUAGGGGAGCGUUCUGUAAGCCUGUGAAGGUGUGCUGUGAGGUAUGCUGGAGGUAUCAGAAGUGCGAAUGCUGACAUAAGUAACGAUAAAGCGGGUGAAAAGCCCGCUCGCCGGAAGACCAAGGGUUCCUGUCCAACGUUAAUCGGGGCAGGGUGAGUCGACCCCUAAGGCGAGGCCGAAAGGCGUAGUCGAUGGGAAACAGGUUAAUAUUCCUGUACUUGGUGUUACUGCGAAGGGGGGACGGAGAAGGCUAUGUUGGCCGGGCGACGGUUGUCCCGGUUUAAG
rnacentral:rRNA from 1 species